rnacentral:rRNA from 1 species
ACGCUGGCGGCAGGCCUAACACAUGCAAGUCGAGCGGAUGAAGGGAGCUUGCUCCUGGAUUCAGCGGCGGACGGGUGAGUAAUGCCUAGGAAUCUGCCUGGUAGUGGGGGAUAACGUUCCGAAAGGAACGCUAAUACCGCGUACGUCCUACGGGAGAAAGCAGGGGACCUUCGGGCCUUGCGCUAUCAGAUGAGCCUAGGUCGGAUUAGCUAGUUGGUGAGGUAAUGGCUCACCAAGGCGACGAUCCGUAACUGGUCUGAGAGGAUGAUCAGUCACACUGGAACUGAGACACGGUCCAGACUCCUACGGGAGGCAGCAGUGGGGAAUAUUGGACAAUGGGCGAAAGCCUGAUCCAGCCAUGCCGCGUGUGUGAAGAAGGUCUUCGGAUUGUAAAGCACUUUAAGUUGGGAGGAAGGGCUGUAGGCUAAUAUCCUGCGGUUUUGACGUUACCAACAGAAUAAGCACCGGCUAACUUCGUGCCAGCAGCCGCGGUAAUACGAAGGGUGCAAGCGUUAAUCGGAAUUACUGGGCGUAAAGCGCGCGUAGGUGGUUCGUUAAGUUGGAUGUGAAAGCCCCGGGCUCAACCUGGGAACUGCAUCCAAAACUGGCGAGCUAGAGUACAGUAGAGGGUAGUGGAAUUUCC